rnacentral:sRNA from 1 species
CUAAAUCUGUACCUAGGCUGGGUGUGGUGGCUCACACCUGUAAUCCCAACACUUUGGGAGGCCAAGGUGGGUGGAUCGCCUGAGGUCAGGAGUUCAAGACCAGCUUGGCCAUAUGGUGAAACCCUGUCUCUACUAAAAAUACAAAAAUUAGCUGGGCGAGGUGGCAGGCGCCUGUAAUCCCAGCUACUUGGGAGGCUGAGGUGGGAGAAUCGCUUGAAACCGGGAGGUGGAGGUUGCAGUGAGCUGAGAUUGCACCACUGCACUCCCGCCUGGGCAUCAAAGCAAGACUCCAUCUCAAAUAAUAAUAAUAAUAAUAAAAUCUGUACCUAAAACUCAUGGUUUGUCUACCAUAGUUACUUAGUCACUUGACUAAAAUGAAAUAUAAUAUCUAAUUGUAUUGGCUUUCUUGUUUUAGGAAUUGAAAUGCACCAGCGGUUGUCUAACAUAGAAAGGAAUUGGCCUUACUACUUUGGGUUUGGUUUGCCCUUGGCUUUUCUCACAGCAAUGCAGUCCUCAUAUAUUAUCAGUGGCUGCCUUUUCUCUAUCCUCUUUCCUUUAUUCAUUAUCAGCGCCAAUGAA